CUCUUUGAGUUCACAGUUCCUCUCAUCAUUUUGGAGGGCUGGGGGCCUCGCGCUCCCGCUACGCUCGCGACGUGAGGCCCAACGGGUGCGGGCUGCCGCGGACGAGCUCUGGGGAGUCGAAAGAGGACUAUUAAUAAUUAUGCCAAGACAUCUGGCAACAACCACAACUGUCUUGAGUAAACUUAAAUAUCUAGUUACCUAGUCAUGUACCACAUCUGGCACAGGUCUUUUUCCUUAGAAGAGCAGUUUCUCUUUGAAUUAAAUUAUCAAGACUCCUAGUAUGACUGGGCUUCCUAGAAAAAUAGUGA
ensembl:lncRNA